rnacentral:snRNA from 1 species
GUGCUCACUUCAGCAGCACAUAUGCUAAAAUUGGAAUGGUACAGAGAAGAUUAGCAUGGCCCCCACACAAGGAUGACGUGCAAUUACAGUUGGAGACUUCAACACCUCU